rnacentral:rRNA from 1 species
CAGUAGCCGCGGUAAUACGAAGAGUGCAAGCGUUACUCGGAAUUACUGGGCGUAAAGCGUGCGUAGGUGGUGGUUUAAGUCCGUUGUGAAAGCCCUGGGCUCAACCUGGGAAUUGCAGUGGAUACUGGGCCACUAGAGUGUGGUAGAGGAUAGUGGAAUUUCCGGUGUAGCAGUGAAAUGCGUAGAGAUCGGAAGGAACAUCUGUGGCGAAGGCGACUAUCUGGGCCAACACUGACACUGAGGCACGAAAGCGUGGGGAGCAAACAGGAUUAGAUACCCGCGUAGUCCCUGUCUCUUAUAU